ensembl:lncRNA
CGCGCUGUGCUGCCCGGCCGCGCUGCGGUACCGACCCGACCCGGCCCGGCGACCGGCCCCGCUCUACGGCGGGCAGCCCGAUAGGCACAGGGAGCGAGGACGGGGAGCUGGAUGGCGGUGUGGAGGCCUGAGGCGAAGGCUAAGCCUGCCCCUCCCCGGGCCGCCUUCAGCGAGCUUCGGCGCGGGUCUCCGCGUUGAGAGAAGUGAUGAGUCAGGUUUGCUCGGCUCCAUGCUAAUGCACGGAGAUGGAGGGUGUAAUUAGUAGAGAGGCAGGGCUGUGAUCUGCAGCGCGGGGCGGCCGGGCCACGCACCUCCUCUGUGCUUCAGAGCGUCGCUGAAGUUCUCCUUGUUUCGUGCUCCUCCAGCCCCAACGGUGUAUAUGCAGGGUUUGGUGGGAGCAGAGCCACAGACGUCGGAAGGUGUCUGUGUGUGAAACACCCCGCGUUAUGUAAUUCUGAUGUUGAAAGAUGACGCAGCUUCUGAAGGAAUCUUCACCUCAAACAGAGCUGUCAGCAGCACUGAGGGCUGCCACUCACCAGUCAUUUCAAUGCGGAAAGCACUCGAGACACAGCAACAGGCAACAGAACGCAGCGCUCACAGAGAAACAAAUUGACAAGUACCCACGACUGGACAUCCUCAGAAACACGGUUGUGUCCUGUUCCUCUCCACUGCAGUUAUUCCCACUCAGAGUGACCACUUCAGAGCUUUAACAAAGCCCAUUACAAACGGGAACAUUUUCCGUUAGCCAAUUCCUGUCCAGUUACUGAAUGGUAAAGGAAAGCAGAAUCCUGAAGUUAUGAGGUAAUUAAGUUACCAGCAGCCUGGCACCUUGACCUGCCCAGAAAUCUUAAGGUGGUGGUGAAUUCUACAAACACAAUCGGUCUUCUCUGCUGAGGUCACCCAAAGAGGCUGCCAGUUAUUGCCAUGCAUGGGAAAGGGGGAGAAUUUUUUUCUUGAUGGCAUGUACCACAGUGGCUUGAGACCAUCACAUCCUUCCAGACAGAUCACUGACCUGCCAAGUCGGAUUUGCUUAAGUGGUUACCGGUUUCAGCAGAAUUUUAUCAUUGGUGAUUGAAAAUUUUGUGAAGUUUUACAACCAAAGAGUAAUACUAAUUAAUAACAGAGGAACACGCUUCCAAAGGAAAGUAGGGUUUUCUCUGCCUUCUUAAGUAUUCGGGUGCAUUCUUGAGAGACAUAUUACAGCCAGGCAUGGGUUCUGUGCUCACUGUAGGAGUAACCGAAUGAGAUGCGAAAGCCAGAGUUCACCUAAUGCUUUAUGCAGCCUUUGAGCUGGUUCAAAUCAAUCAGCUAAGAGAUGUAGCCCAUCAAAACACCAAGCUGUCUUCACCCCUGGUAAUGAGCACCUACACCAUGGUGGGAUGCCAGAUUUGAACUCACUUUGUGGCUGUGAAAUUUCUGCCUGGACUUUCCUAAUGAGCAAGUAGAGAGCGGUACGGUGCAUCUCCACUGCCUUCCAGAAAGCACUGCACCCAACAGCCAUCAGCUGAAAACCAAUCUGUCCACGCAAGCUAAGUCGGAAGAUGCUGCGUAGAUGGGCUGUGUCCUGGAAAAUUCCACCUGGCCGUGGUGUGCAUGCAGAUGCUACUGGAGUGCUCAGUAGGUCCACAUCUGUUCUUCCUGUGAUGCAAACCUGCUGUAGAAGGGCACAGUUCUUUCACUCUCCAUACAUAAGUACAAAAGCUUGAUGCUUCCUGAAAAGGUCGGAUUGAGAAGAUCAGUGCUGUAAAACUGAACUAGUUAUGCAGUGGAUGUGUUUGCAAUUCAAAGACCUCCAGCAGCUCAGAGAGAAAGGAAAGGAUGAGGCAGCUGCCACGCAAUAACUCAGACUGGACUGCUACAAGACUAGAGAUUUCAUAAGAAAUUAAAAGAUCCUCAAAUUUUGUUCAUUAAAAACAAAGCAAAACAAAACAAAACAAAAACCCUUCAGAAGCAGGAGAAGGGGAUAUGUGAGCACCUAACUAGAGACUUACCCACUCUCCCCAUCUGACUGCCACUCUAAAGCCCUGUGCAAGUGUCAGAUGGGUGACUGACAUGCUACAUGCCUUUCAUUUCUUGAGUCUAUGAAUCAUUCAGCAGAGCCAUAUGAAACAUGGAUAGAUAGGAAAAUUGAUAUGGUUUCUCAAAGGUCAGAAAAGCCAGCACAUUACCAGCAUGUCAAACAAGUGACAGUCCUGCAUUCAUUAUCACCAGGCUUGGUGCACCAUUUUAGCAUUGUUUGCACAGGACUUUUAUUGCGUUCUUUGAGGAAGGAAGGGCAGCAGAUAAAGUUUGUGCCCUGACACUACAAAAUGACUUCCCAUCCUCAAAAUUACACACGCAAAUUUGCAAAAUGAGUGUUCAGAUAAUUACAUGAGAAGGCGAGAUGUCAGAGUUUGUGGAAUUCUUCCUCGAGGGUGGGGGCACACACUUUUUCAUUAGCAGCAUUUAAACCCUGACUAGAUAAAGCACUCUUAAAUUAUGUUUAUCGUAUGAAACAAUUACAGCCUGGCCAGGAGAACUGAACUUGCCAACUCAAUAGGCUUUUUAAAUAUCUAAUUUCUUGGACAAAUACGUAAUUCUAAAAAACAUUACAUCACUACCCAACCAAGAAAUCCUUUCUCUCUCUGUUUUUCUGUGGUUUGCACGAUAAUUUGCUAAAUACAUUUCAGCGUGUUGUUUACUUCAGCUCAGCCUUCUGAGACCACACAGGCCAAUGCUGAGACAGUAAAUAGGGAUCAUCUAGGAAAAAAAAAAAAACAGGUUAUGCUUCAAGUUGAGUUGGGAAAUAUUCAAGUUCACUUUGGAAGUAUUUUGGGCCAUACAAUUUUGGGGGGGUGAUACACUGGGGAAAUGCAUUAAUUGAAAGAAAAUCCAAAAAGCAUGACACAGGUAGCCUUGUUAGUGGUCUUCCUCCUGAUUCAGGAGAAUUACAAAUGAUCCCUUGUAACGUAUUCUUGUAGAUGUGAAUCCUGUGAACAAAUGCUGGUGAGUCCAGGAUUUGAGGUCUGCACAACAGCUGCUGACUCAUCAGGAUUUUGUCACUUCCCUGAAGAUGUUGCUGAGUGUUGGCUUCGGAUCUCAGGUGUCCCUCAUUAAGAACUGCCUAUUUUGCCUCAAACCCUCUUGUGGCAGCCAGGCUGCUGAGGAGCCAAGAGUUCAAAAGCUGAAGGGCUAAAAAGAGGGCAAGCAAGAGGGAGCUUUGGUUCAGUUGUGUGCCUGGCCAGCCUUUUUUUUUUUUUUUUUUUUUUUGCACAGAUGUCUUUGUCUUGCUGGAAAAAAAGUUCUCAAGCAGCAGAACUUGUCUGUUCAUAUUUUGCAAAUGAAACACAUGGUACGGCAUGAUGCCAUGUUAAAGAUGGAGCUGAUCAGUGAAAUUAGCUUCCGUUACUCACUGGCAAUGGUAUGGCUUUCAUUAUUUUCACAACAAAUACAAAACUCAGCAGCCUUUAGGAUAUGGCACAUAAUUAAUGUCCAUUUCCCAUUGAAGCCCCCCAAGAUAUGACUCUAAGUACAUUGGAAGAUGAGGCUGAAUUGUAACACAGUUUUAUUCUUUGUUUCUGGACAAAGAAGGCUGAAGUGAUGAAACAUUUGCAUCUGUUUUAAACUUGGCUUAUUUCAUUUUUAAUUUUUUUUUUUUUUAAUCCCACUGCAUUAUUUUUCUGACGGCUACACCCUGAAAAAACAGGUUGUCAGUGCAAGCAGGGUUUUCUCAGAAGGUACCCACAAGAAGCAAUUAGACGUGUGAGCAAAGGCAGUCAGCACAUGGGAUCCUCCCCAGCGAAACAGGCUCAGCGCUGAAGGCUCGUCUGCAUGGCAUGUUUCUUCUUUCAUCGAACACCAGCAAAAUGCCAGGAACAUUCCUGGACAGGAGAAAUCUUGAAUUCUGCAAUUCAGCCUUAAAGAAACACUCCUCUGGGGAACUGCCCAACUGCCUGAUGGAAAUGAGUGACUCCUGUAUGCAGAUCUGCCUUCGAAGACUCUGACCUAUUUCAGCCCAGCUUUGCAGAACACACAAGCUCUAUUUAUGAUGCUGCAGGAAGGGAAAGGCAGGGUGCAAGCAAUGCACCUUGCUCUGCUGGGAAAGAGCUGGCAGCCCCAGCUCCAGCAGUGAAGCCCCGCAUCAGGAGAUGGUGGGACCUGGCUCCUGUUGGGGCAAUGAGUAACAUCAUCACAUCUGACUGAACCUCUGGCAUGUAGACUUGACUACUUACUCUUGCUGCAGAAGCAUUUAUAUUGACACAGAUUCAGGAAGAUGCUGCACAGCAGAAUCAGGGAAACAACUGUUUUAUAAGCAGAGUGAUGCCUUCAUACAGCACAGCAGUGUGAUCUGCGAUGGAAAACAUAACAGGACUGUAUUCCACAGCAAGGUCAUGUUUUGAGAAUUUUAUUCGUCCUCAUUUCUAUUAAAGUGUCUUUUUACAGGGAGAAAUAACUUCUUUUAGUUAUGCUGUAUUGCUCUUGAAACUUAACCUUCCUCUAGCUGGGCUCUAUAAAUCACGGAUUUUCUUAUAAACAGAU